rnacentral:lncRNA from 1 species
CUAGGUUUCUUUAAAUUUCUUUGAAUUCUACCUUGUGAUUUUGGUUUAGAAAUGUGUAGAAUUACAUUUAUGAGGAUCAUAAGGAAGAGAAGCACAGAUCAGUUCUUAGGCAUUCCAUACGUAAUGACUAUGCUUAACUGCCUACUCCCACUUGGAAUGCUGCUUUGCUUCUCUCUCUCUCUCUCUCUCUCCCCCCCCCCCCCCCCUUUCUCUGCUGUGUAUUGCCUAAUUAGUUAUUUACAUUUGUUUAUUUAUCUCUGUAAAGCUUUCAUGCUUGGAUUUUAAAUGUACGAUUCAAUUAGAAACCUUUAUAAUGUUGAUGUUAUAGAACAUUCAACAGAUAUAUAUUCAACAUUAGGUAGCUCUGGCAAAAUCAUAUAGAUUAAGAUUUGGUAAUAUAUGGAGGUGAGAGUGAAUCUGCCUUGCUUGCCAUGAUAUAGGCUUGCAAUGAUGGCUUUCUCUUUGUAGUACUACAUUCUACUCUUACAUGUUAACAUCAGAAAGCAGACUAAGAUAGAUCCAAACCCAAUCUUAUUAAUUAAAGUUAACAGAAAGAAAAUGAUUUAUGCAUGCCUUUGUUUGUUUGUCACUUGAUUUUGGUUUAGGUUGACCAUAGCUAAAACAUUCAAGACUUGCCUAACACCUAAUUUGACGAAGACCGUAUCCUUUUUAGCCUUUAGUUGUGUGUUUGCUAGCUAGAUGGGUGGUGGGUGAGUCUUGGAUGUUAUCUUGGAUGUCUUGAUUAUUUUGGUGGGCGAGUCUUGGAUGUUUUGGUUAUGUCUUAUUUGACUCUUAUAUCUUCCCUUUUUCUGAAUUUUCUUUAUUUCUCAUCCUUUAAACUUUGUAUUUUUUUUAAAUGUAUAUAUUUUUUGGUGAUGCAGAUAGAUGAACAUGUUCAAGGGAAAAUCAUGAACCACAGAUCACUGCAUCUGAAUAUCGUUUGAUUCCAAGAGGUCAGUGAUCAUAAACUUUUUCAUUUUGUAUUUUAAGAAUGAAUUUGGCAAGUUGUGUUUGAAUUUUUUAUAAGUAUCUGCUGAGGGUGGGUGGAUGAAGACAGAACAUGCUAAAUUUGGCCUUUGGUGUGCUUAAACUGGUAUAGGGGAUGGUUAGAACUUUGAGCCCGGAAUGCAGUAGGACUAAGAGAAAAUGCCCUACCCACCGGGGCAAUCCACCACUUGCAGAAUAGUUGUCCAAAUAACUCUGCUAAAAAUAUGAUCUAUACUUCCUGCACUUUGUUUUACUGUGAAGUGGAAAUAGUCUUUAGAGUGGCUUAUUUGUGAUAAUUGAUAAAUAGGUUUGUGUUUAAGACUUGAGAGUAGUGCGGUGUCUUUCUUGCUGGUUCUGCUCACACCACCUCUGAUUUUAGUGUAGAGUCUCAAAUAUGGGAUCUCUGAAUGUCCCCUGAAAUGGAAUCCAUCUCGAUUUUCGUCUAGUUUCAGAUAGGGAAAGUUAGGUCUGAAGCAUUUUUACAUAAAUAGUCAGUCAUAAUAUAACUAAAACUUACAUACUUUUUCAAUUUAAUUGUUGUUUUGCAUCAGGCAAGGUUUUUCAUCCAGCAGUUGAUAUCCGGAGUUGGUUGCUGUCAUUUGAUUGUAUGUAAAUCCUAUAAUUCGGAUUAAAAUUUACCUGUAUUUGAUCAUUAGUGGGAAAAUCAACACAUCGCCGUCGGAAAAUUCAGUUCCUUCGCGUCCUUCAAUUACUGUCAGCAACGUCUAUCAAAAACCAAGAAAAAAGUGAGUAAUGGGGUUAGCUCAACACCAGAACUCAGUAGCUCCGGGAAAUAAGAAACGGUAAGAAAAAGCAAUCAGAAACCCCGACGAAUUGAGCUGGAAAGGGGACCUUAAAGGUGAUGUCGUUCUUGCGAGCUUUGAGAGCAGAUGCGAAGAUUUUAGGGAGUGGAUCGGACUCAUAGCCUUUGAUGCGCCAUGGCCAGGCCUCUAGGGUCUUGUAGCAGAGGAAAACGUGGCGAUAGUAUGACAGUGUAUCGUCAUCAGUGUCUUCAUCAGACUCAUAUGACACAGUAGUGUCUUCAUCAGACUCAUAUGACAUAGUCUCAUAGUUGUCCCAAUUAGUACGAUCAUCGGACAAAUCCCAUUUUAGAAUAUCCACUCCAGUUUUGUUCACCUUAAUAAUUGUAUUAUCUAGUCCAUAAAAUUGUGCUUGUACAAGAACCAUGUCGCCGCCUUUCAAAUUGAGCUUCUUGUUUGAAAGAUUUCCCAACCAAAGAUAAUAUUCAUGGGAAGCAGUUACGGUGGCCUCAAUUGGCCAGAUACGAAAAUUAGUUUGCUGGGUACGAUUAACAACAUCAAUGGUUAGAAACCCACUAGAGUCGGAGUUGUCCGAAGAAUAAACGAUGCCCAAAGCCAACCCUCCUAUAUAAUCAAUACAUGGCGGCACUUCAAAUUUGACUGUUUCAUCCUCUCUCGCGACAUAGGCUAACCGCUUCGGAAUAUCAUUUCUAGAGAGAAAAUUCCACCAAAUGCAUUUUUCUACAGCAUGGGGUGCAAAGUUAGUAAAAGCAACAAUACAAAAAGCAGAGAGAGAGAGAGAGAGAGAGAGAGAGAGAGAGAGAGAGAGAGUACCAUACCGUUUGGAGGUUCUCCUUAAAAGUAUCAGUGAGACUGGUACACCCUUCCAUAUAAAUUGAAUCCAUGUAGUCCAAUGAGUUCUCCAAGUUUGGAAUAUCUUUGAGUUUGCGGCAGUCUUUCAGUUGCAAGUGUUUCAUUUUCGACAUCUCUGAAAAGUCGGACACUAUUUCCAGUGCAGUGCAGUAAUUCGCUUCCAAUACACAUAAACUGUUGGGCAAAUCUGGGAUUGCCUGAAGGUUUGUGCAAUGAUUUAGACAUAAACUCCAAAGCUGAGAAAGACCACUGAGAAUGGGUAGCCUAUUAAAACCAUUCCCACCUAGAUCUAAAAUUGUUAAAGAAGAUAGACUCCCAAUUAUUUCGAGAAGGGCACCAUCUGUUAUAUUGCAGUCGCUGAGAUGUAAUUCCUCAAUCAUCUUCAGUUGUGCUAAAAAAUGGUAACCCCCACACAAACCCUUACAGUCUCUGAUGGUCAAGUACCGGAGAUGUGGGAGUUUUGAAAAGUUUGGUAAUUCAGUCAGGUUACGGCAGUGUACAAGAACGAGAAACUUCAACUUCUUAGGCAACUGUUACUCAAAAAGAGAAAACAAUAAUAAAAAUCCAAAUAAAUAAAAGAGAUAAUACAUGAUGAUGACUGAUGUUGAUAUUUACAAGGACAUUGAUAUUUAGAUUGUACCAAGUCCGAAUCCUCCCAAACUCGUACGAUCUUGCUGGACCAUAAUUCCAUAUAAACUAGGUUUCGUUGAUCAAAAUCUGCUGGUAUGGCUUCAAGAGGAAAUCCAAUCCAAUACAAUAAUCUUAACUCCUUGGAAAGAUGUUUGUAGCUUCCAGUCAGCUUUACAUUUCCCAGCCAGAGAAUUCUCAGUCGCCACAUCUUCUUAAAUGCUUCUGUACUGAAGCUUUGCUCGUCAUCAGAAUGUUCUGGCAAAAAUAAUUCUAGUCCUUCAACUGCUUCUGUUCCCUGUUAGAGAUAAAAAAAAAAAAACAGAAAAGGAUAAUAUUCACAUGAAGCAAAGCCAUGAAUCGGAUGAAUGAACUACUAACAAGGUAGGGCAUACAACAUAAUUAUGUAUUUUCUCUUUCAAAUUACCCAGUGGAUGAAAGCCUUUUCUUUUCUUCUUUUUCUUCGAAUAUACUAGGUAUGUCAUACAUUAUAUAGAUGCAGGAUAUGCGUAUAUACUUCUCUUUCUUCAUAUGUACUUAACAUCUUUUUUAUUGCAAAAGUACUUACAGAUUCGUUCCAUAGCACACUUUUUGCAUCUUCCAUAUGCCACAAUCGACUACGUUUUCCCAGUUCCACAGGAGAUUCUGCCCGCACAAUUUCUCUUCCCAUAUCUCGAAUCAAAUCAUGCAUCCUCAAUGCUCCCCCUUUAUCAAUAUAUAAGAGACAUCGAUCACAAAGUGUGGUAAUUUCUGCUUCUACAGAAAAAUGACUACAACCAUCCAAUAUUGUCGCGACCACACUUAUAGACACUCCAAUAAAGAAAUUAGAUAUGUCAAGGAACACACCCUUCACAUGAUCGUCACGUAACCCAUCGUAGCUUAAUUUAAGCGUUUGAUGAAUUUUUCCAUCUGGAAUAUUUCUUAAUUUAUUCAAUGUACUUUUCCAUAUGCUUUUACUCUUUUUCGUAGCCAACAAACGGCCAACAACUUCAAGAGCUAGGGGCAAUCCUCCACAAUAAUCAACAACAUCUCUUGCGAGUUCAAUAUAUUCUUCAUCGGGACAAUCAUUUCCAAAGGCAUGCCAACUAAGAAGCUUAAGAGCUUCGUCAUCAGUCAUUCCUUGUGCUUUAUACCUUUUAUCCACCUUUUGUAUAUUCAGCACUUGUUCAUCUCUUGUCGUUAUAAUAAUCCUACUCCCUGGACCAAACGAGUCAUGUGCUAUUGCCAAUUUAUCUAAUUGGUCCGCAUCAUCUAUGUCAUCAACCACGACAAGUACCUUCAUGCUUCCAAGUCUUUUCUCUAUCUCCUUGGUUCCUUCGGCAACAUUGCUUACCUUAAUGUCAGGCCGUUUCAAAAUAUCUCGAAGAAGUUGUUCUUGCAGACUAACCAUAUUUUUCUUGUUACUCCUCACCUCUUCAAGGUAACAUUGACUGCUGAAACUAUGACCAUAUUUGCUACAAAUGGCUUUGGCAAGCGUUGUUUUACCUAUACCGCCUGUACCCCAAAUUCCAAUUAUUUGAACAUCAGGUGAACCUCCAAUGUCUAAGUAUUCAGUGCUGAAUUCUUGCAUGCGAAGAGCUAUUCCAACUGAGUGCUUGGCUUUUAAGUCUAUGGGUUUCAAUAUUCCCUUGAUGUCCCCAGUAAUUUUCUCGAUAAACACUCCUUCACGCCUACAAGUAGAAAUUCCAAAUUACGAGAGCCAUACUAAAUGCCUUAUUCAUCAUGCCUUUAUAUUUACAUAUUGAAACAAAUUGGAAUAAAUUGUGAUUUACUGAGCUCAAUUCAACCACGUAUUUAAUCUUCGAUUAUAAUGUGAAUAACCAAUUGGACUACUACACAAUUGUAGCUUUCAGUUAUAUAAUUAAGAAUCCAUUACAAUUGGUAUUUUAAUUUGAUAAAGUGUGGAACAUUUGUCCUUCACACACCUAUAAAAAACAAUCACUUCCUUAAUUUUGACGGAAAUUCUUAUGCAAAUGCUCUACCUUUUAUAAAAUUCAUAUACCAAUUCUAAUAAAUUUUUAUGUAGUGACCAAAAUUACAGUUCUAUCAUAGUUCACGGACCAACGAUCCAAUUUUUCUUAUAACAUAUAAAAUCAGGAUUCAAUGCCUUAAUUAUAAUAUCUUAAUUUUGGUUGAUUAGUGAAAUAUGGCGAUAUGAAAUUUGAAGUAAACAAAAAAUUAUACCCGUCGGCCGUGGUUUUGAGGUUCCAACCGGCCAAAUAUGCAGAAGCCUUAAGAUCCUCUCUCCACUGCUUGACCACAUUUGGAUCUUCAUCCUUUUCAUGCUUCUGAAAUGCUUCCCCAAAACUAUCUUUCUGUUUCCUGACUUGAGAAGGGUCAACGUCGUAGAAUAUUGGACAGACUAUUUUCCCCUCUUGAUUUUUUAGGCACCUCAUGAUCUUCGACAGCUCCCUCAGGCACCAUCGGGACUCGGCGUACCUCUUUGAGAAGACGAUGACGGCGAUUCUCGACCCUUCGAUUUCUUGGUCAAGUUCACUUUGUAUGUUUUCCCCCCUUCUGAGCUGUGUGUCUAUAAAUGUGUUAAUUCCGGCAUUGCGUAAUGCAAUGAAGAGGUGGUCUGUGAAGGUGUUGCGGGUGUCUUCACCUCUAAAGCUCAGGAACACCUCGUACUUCCAGCGGUUUGAGCUCCGCGAGGAAGACGAAGAGGCGGCAGCGGCGGCUCCAUGAUCGGAGCUGCUGGCAUCCAUUGCAGCCUGUAGAAGUGCAGCUUGACUUUCAAAUAACCAAAAUCAAUCUUUCCCAAGCUUCCCCAGUGUAGGCGACCCUUUUAAAUUUUUUGCAUAGGGCAAUGAUGUCACUGCCGUGUCGAUAACGCGUGAGUGGUAUUCCUCCCACAAUUUAAUUUGUAUAAAUGUUACCAUCAAAUUUCAAAAAAAUAAAUUGUAUAACUGCUUUACGAUGCAAUUUCCUUUCUUUUGUAGUUUUAAGGGUGGUGCGCAGGUAGGUUCAGCUGCGGCUGCUGAUGGACGUCACGACAGCGUUAUAAGAAUCUUCGGUGCAAAACAGGUCCACAAACACCACAUCUAUUAUCUCGACACCAUGUGCACAUACAUUACAUGGGAGCCAGUCAACGCCUCUUGCACUCCGGAAGCCCAUGGUUUGUGAUUCACAAGGACCUCAUCAACAAAGCUGUCCACAUCCGACUCUUUCAAGCCCCUUUGAUUGAGAAACAAAAACAACCACAGAAUCACAAAGUUAAAAAUCCCCAAAUACUUAUCGCUAACACGCCCAUUUAGUGAUCACAAAUACUUAUCGAAAACUAGACAACAACCUUCACUAAGUUUUUGUGCUGCACUUUCGACAUCAUUGCCACUUCCCCCGCAAACCGCGCUUCUCUCUUGGCAAUCUGCUCUGGGGUUUCUCCUCUAUGAACAUUUUUUACAGCAACAUUUUGACUCUUAUAUCUAGAACAAACAAAACGCAACCAACAAACAGAUUAAGAACACAACAGAACAGAACAUCAUCGUUGUAACUCGACACGAAAAACACAUAUUCGGCAUCAUAAACACCAUAAUUGCAGAACACCAAAUCAAGUUUUGAUCUUUGAUUAGUUCUGCUAAAACCCAACUCAAAUUUGCAUUUAUAUUUAACAAGAUCUAAGGCAUCAUAUUAAAUUGCUAAACUUGAGAGACCAGAAAUUCAGAAUUUAAGACAAAACAAACACAGAGGUUGUACCUACUUUCCUUCAUACACUUUGGCAUGUGCGCCUUCCCCAAUCCUCGGACCAACAAAAGAUGUUUUGGAUCAAUCAGCCACUUGGCAUCCAAAUCGAAAUCCCCAACUGAAUAAACCCCAUUACCAGAUCCCAUAAUUUUCUCUCUCUAAAAUUCUAAAACAAGAACAACAUACACUGACUAAUUAACCAAAACAAAGGGUACCCUUUAUUUGUAGGACCACAUUUGAAGUAAAGAUUAAAGCUUUGGUCAGGAUAAAAAUGGAAAAAAGUAAUAAAAUCAGUAGACUUUGUAUGAUUGGAGAGGGAGAAAGAUGAAGACUUUCUAUAAUAAAAGGACUUGCUUGGUACUGUAGGUUUCAGAAAACAGACCCAUCCCCGGAAUCACGGUUGAGUAUCCUACAAAUAUAGGGUGUGCCUUUUGUGUAGGGGGCAAAGAAUAAAAUCCCCGAGGCACCCACCAACAACCCUACAAUAUAAAAAGGAGAUGGAUUGUUUGUCCUCCCAUUUCCAUACUCUCUCAAUUCCUUUCUGUUUGUGUGGUCAUGGUUAAACCACGUAAACAUUUUAUAUUCCUAUUACUUUUUGUUUUAUUAUUUUUAUAAAAAUUAAUAUAAAAUGUUGACGUGACUUAACCAUGACCAUACAUAAAGAGAAUGAAAAAAGUAUGAAAAUAGGAGGACAGACAAUCCACCUCCAUAUAAAAAUGGUCACUGAUGAGAGCUCUAUCAGUGGGAGUGGAUUAGAUUUAUUAUUGGGAAUUAGGGAGAGAGAGGAAUCAGUAGAAGAGCAAGCAGAUAGAGUUGAGCAAGGCAGAGGAGGAUGAAACUGAGAGGAUCCAGGUGGGGAUUUGGGAACUUGGUGGCGGCGACGGAGGCGGUGGGCGGGUGGUAAGUGAGUUCAGUUGAGAUUAAUCUAUUGGCCUUCUCCGCGAGUGGAAUAUUAUUGUCUUGUCUUCUAGAUCCAAAGAUAAACUAGUCUCUGUCAGAGAAUAGUGUGUUUCCUUUGUUUUUCUUCCUUUCUAAUUAAUUUUCCCUUAUUUAUACUAGCAACCGUAAAUAUUUAUAAUAAGAGAAAAUGUAAAUUGAUUUCUAGAUUUUUUUCUUUAUGAACUUCAAAUGAUUUUGCGUCGCUGAAUGAGACUGUUCAUAUAUUUGAUUACUAGUUCUGAAUAAAUAUUUCUUUAACUAAAAGUUUACAAGGCAACUGAUAUGAUUACUUAGUUAUAAGAUUUGGGAAAAAAAAUUAAAAGUAUUUUGUGUGCAAUUUACUAUAUUAUCCAUAACUUUUAAUUUAUUAAUUUAUUUAAGUUAAUUUGGUCUUUGCACUCUCUUUUGAUUGAUUAAGAGAGUUUCGUUGAUAGGUAAUUUAGAUUAUAAUAAAGUAAAAUAAUUACUCAAUAAAUAUUUUUUUUUAAUAAUAUGAUAUUAUGUACAUUAAGUGGUGGAGGGAGUGAGUUAAGCUUCACAAUGAGAUAGUCAUAAUAAUUUGGUUCAAAUUUACCUUGACGAUAAUUGAACUUAAGACUUCUCAUGUAUGAGAGAUUUUUCAAUUUACUAGAAACACGUUGUAAAAAUACAAUUGGUUGGAAACUUAAAAAAUAAAAUUUCAAACUAUUUUAUUAUGACACUUGGUGUAUCGAGUCAUGUUCAGUGUUCGCACCACACUGAAAAAUUUCUCCUCAUUUACUAGUCAAAAUGAAUAUUAUUAAAUCGUAAUAUAAGUGACUACUAAAUAACUGAUUUAUAUAUUUGAUUUUUAAAAGUUUAGGGGAAAGGAAAGCUAAUCCAUCAAGGCCAAGGCAUACCACAAGUAUCCUCGAGAACUUACACAAGGGGUCUUAGUCCUUUUUUUGUUUUUAUAGAUCUUGCACAAAAAAUGGUUGCUUACAAUGGAACUCAAACAUAGACCUUACAACUCAACCAAUCCUCAGUGGAAAAUACACAUGUAUUUGAGCAAUCUUUUAAUUAAUUUAAACUAAAUUAUCGAGUCAAAACUCCAUGCAAUAAACAUAUUGUUUUAAUUAAAUUAUUCAUAUACAAUAAUAAAAUGUCUAUUUAUAUCAUAGAUUCUAAGAUUUGAUAAAGAGAAUAUUUUCAAGAUGUGCAUAGACAUAAAACACAUACACACUACUCUAACUAAAUUAACCAAGAACAAUUCUGCAAGAAAAUGGAAGAUAUGUGACUUUUAUUUAUUUCCUAGAUUCUAUGAAGGAUAAGAAAAUGUUGUCAGAGAAAAAGAAAGGUAAAUGGGCGAUAAGAAGACGAAUACAACACAAUGAUACAAUUGGGGCUUCCAGAAAGUGCCCCUUUGGUAGCCACUAAGGCCAAAAACCCAUCACAAUAAUUGAAUUACCAAUGUCUUAUUAGAAAGUAAAACACAUUACUCUGGCGUUUCCGAAACUUGAAUGUGACAAAUAUGACAUAGACAAUAAGGAUGUGUGACUUAGAUAUCAGGUUGGAGGAAAAUGGACUGUAGUAUAGAGGUUAAGGCAAAUAGAUAUGUGAGAGGUGUUGCACAAGUUCGAUGUCAAAUUAUUAUGACAUAUUUUAUCGCGAUUCUUAUGAGAGAUUUUUCAGUGUGCCGAAAAUACAACUUGAUACAUCAAGUGUCAUCACACAAGUGAUUGGAUACUUGAAAAAAAAAAAAGUCAACCACUUGUAUGAUGAUACUUGAUGUACCGGGUUGUAUUCUGGCACACUGAAAAGUUGUCUGUCUCCUAGUUCAAAUCUACUGCUCUUUAUUUUAAACACAUCUUUGGAUUCAUUAAAAGACAAAAAGACAUGCUAAUAUUUUGGUCCCAGUAUGCAAGAACCAUACCAUAUACUUAGAAAUAUCAAGCAUCCCGCUGGAAAUCAACUGUAAGGCAAAUAUUAUCAACGAAACAAAAGAAGGAAUUGCACAAUUCAUUUGGUGAUUAGGCGAACUAACAACAAAUAAAAAAUAACGAGUCAAUAAUUUAAACACUGAACUAAAUGAUCCUUACAAAGAUGUGGGUUGUUGAAGAGUUGUAUCAUCACUUUCCUUAACUAUACCAAACAACAUACUCCAAAUGGCUCUUGCAAUCGUUAUUUUACCUAUACCGUCCAUACUUCAACUUCCAAUUAUUUGAACAUCAGGUGAACCUCCAACAUCCAAGUAUUUAGUACUGAAUUCUUGCACGCGAAAAGCUAUUCCAACUGAGUGCUUGGCUUUUUUAAGUCUGUAGUUUCAGUAGUCCCCUAAUGUCUCCAACAAUUUUCUCGAUAAAUAAUCAUUCAUGUCUCGCAGUUAAAAUUCAAAAUUAUACAAAAGUAAGAUUCAUCAUGCAACUGCAAGAUUUAUUUCAACUAAAUGCCUCAUUCGUCAUGAUUAGAUAUUUUGGUAGCGAAAACAUUUUGAAUAAAUUAGAUUUGAUCAAGAUGAUUAGUUAAGUUCAAUUCAACUGUGUUUCCGAAAUGCAUUGUAACCGUGUAGUUAAGCCCAGUUAAAUUGCUCCUGAACUAUAACAAGGUGUUUGUUUGCCCUCACUAAACCAUAUUAUAGCUUUUAGUCAUACAAUUAGAAAUCCAUUAGAAUUAGUAUAUGGGUUUGACAUACGAAGGAUUCGUCCUUCACGCAUUACCAAUGCUCCAAAGUUUUUUCCUAUAAACGUAUGAAAUCAAAGUCUGAUCAUAAUCUCCUUAUUUUUGGUGGAUUAAUGAGUCUUAGAAGCUAAUACAAGACGUUGGAAUUAAAUUUAGAGGAAGAAUUAAAACACCUGUCCGCUGUGGUUUUAAGAUUCCGGCCACCCAAAUCUGCAGAAGCCUUUAGAUCCUUUCUCCAUUGCUCGUACUCAUCUGGAUCUUCAUCCCUUUCAUGCUAACAAAGUUAAAAGAAUAAAGUAAAGUGAGAAACCUAAUAAAAGUUUAGGUGGUAAAGUGAACAAAUCAGCAUAUAGGGCAAGUAAAAUUUUGUCUACGUAAGUGUCAUAGAAAUGCCUUUGAUAUUUUGUACAUAUAGAAAACAAAUAGGGUUAAUUACAUCGAUGUUUCCUGAAUUUGUCAUUUAUCUUCAUUUUAUUUGUUUUAUAUGAUCUUCAAACUCGCUAUAGCAUGACUUUUUUUUAUAUCCUUUUUGUCGACUUCAUCUAUUUUUUUGUUAAGUAAAGAUGAUAAAUUUAAAAUUCAUCCCACAACCUAUAAAAUGAAAGAAAAAAAAAAGGAGGUGGAUGUACAAAUCCUUGCAAUGUCAUCUAUAUUUAACAGAAAAAUAAAUUGAGUUAACGGAUAUAAUUGAAGUACCACAUGAGAUUGAGUUUGAGAACCACGAUAAGAAUAAAAGAAAAACUAUUCUAGAAUGAAGGUAAAAUUUGUGACAACAAUGCAGUAUAUCUGAAAAAUAGUUUAAGCAGAUUAAGAUGUUAGCACACAGUCUUGUAUCUCGUUUAUUGAAUAAACGACGAGGACAACAAUGUUGUUUUCUCUCUUUCGAAAUUCAUAAACAACAAAAUUAAGAUUCUUUCACAAAAUUACCAUAAAUUUUGAUAGAAUUAGCAGCUGAAUUAUAAGUCCAACGGGCAAAUCGAAAACAAUCACAAGAACUUAGGACAUACCACGUCAACAUUUAGCAAGUAGUCACAUAACAAAUCCCAAUCAAGAUAAAACCAUUAAACAGUUUAUUCGAUUUCUCCUUUCAUAUGAGUACGGUCCGGAGGGUUAUUUAAUUGACGUUAUAACAUCUUUCUACCAAGAAAAUCCAUCAUGUGCAAAUUAGGUACACCAUUUCCAUAAGUAUACCACAAUAAAACCAAAAAAUAAAAAAGCACACAAUUAAUAAAAAAAUAUUAAAAAAACUGCCUAGGAUUGCCUAGGUGCCGCCUAGCUCUCCGCCUAGGCCCGCUUAGCUUCCAGACGAUUUUUCCAAACGCCUUGCCCAAAAUAAGGGCGGGGCUCCACCGCCCAGCGCCAUAUAGGCGUCGCCUAGGCCAAUUUUUAGAACAAUGGUUCUGCUCCAAACUUACUUCUUUGCAGCAUGUAGAUCCAUUACUAUUAGCACCCUGGUAACAACGCUUCUCCUCGAUUUUCUUUUUUUUUUCUCCAUUUGGAAGCUCUCGAUCAUUAAUUUCUUCAGCUUCAUCGGAAGAUGCUCUAGUUUGGCCCCUGUAAGGAAUGAAAUUGAAUUUCUUGUUCAACUAUUUAAGGAUUCAUCUCUAUGUUUCAUCAAUAGCAGUUGAGCAAGGACAUGGUCAAGCUUUAUAAACAAAACAACAUUAUAAAUCAGAAACAUAUACAGGAUAAUGCAAUUAUAUCCAAUUCUUUUGUGAUUUCUCCACAAAAGUUCCUCCAUGUUAAUGUAACUCUAUAUCAAUUAAUCUAUCAUACAAGACCAGACACAAUCAGCAAUUGAAAAAUAUGACAACACAAGCUUCCGUCCAGUGAAAUUUUCAUCUAAAGAUAGUAGGCAAAACCAAAAAGGGACAAACCUCCGAUGUCGUUCUAUAAUCUCUCCCUUCCCAAGCCGACAUUCUCGCUUCCGCUUCGUCCCCCUCUGAUUGCCAUUUUCUUGGGGCUUCUUGAUUUUCUUAUUUUCUCCUCCAUUUGGAAGCUUCUGGUCAUUAGAUUUUUCAGCUUCAUCAAAAGAUGCUCCGAUUUGGCCCCUAUAAGGAAUGAAAUUGAAUUUCGUGUUCAGCUAUUUAAAGAUUCAACUAUAAGUUUCUUCAAUAGCAAUUGAGUAAGAACAUGUAUGAUCAAGCUUAAUAAACAAUCUAACAACAAUUAAUCAAAAACUUAUACAGGGUAAUGCAGUUACAUCCAAUUCAGAAACAUAUACAGGGUAAUGCAAUUAUAUCCAAUUCUUAUGUGCUUUCUCCACUAAAGUUCCUCGAUGUUAAUGUAACUCUAUAUCAAUAAAUGUAUCAUACAAGACUAGACAUAACCAUCAAUUGAAAAAUAUGACAACACAAGCUUCUGUCCAGUGAAAUUUUCAUCCAAAGGCAGUAGGCAAAACCAAAAACGUACAAACCUCCAAAGUCGUUCUGUAAUCUUUCUCUUCCCAAUAUGCUUAUCAAGUGAUUUCGCCACGUCAAAAGGAGUGACGAAGGGAUACCUGCAAUUAAAAAUACAUAAUAUUCAAACUCCUUCAUCUAUCCCAAUACGAUAAAUUUUAAAUUUUUAUGAUCCGGAUAUUACCAAUGGCAUGUCAUGCUUCCAUCUGAAUCUCGGCUGUAGAUCAUGAGUUUUCCAGCAUACUUGUGGCCUCCAAUGUGAGAGCAAGCAGUAACAAAUACCUGAUCCGUCAAUCCUCGCAGCUCAGCCUCCUCUUUGAACUUAUCAAUGAGAACACGUGCACGAUAACGAUUCCAUUCAUUUUGACUCAUAUGUGCGCAUAUGAAUACAUGGGGGCCAGUCAACGGCUCUUGCACUCCAGAAGCCCAUGGUUUGUCAUUCACAAGGACAUCAUCAAUAAAGUUGUCCACAUUUGACUCUUUCAAGCCCCUUUGAUCAAUAAACAAAAACAACAUCAGAAUCACAAAAAAAUAUUUACAGGAAACAAUAACCUAACACUCUUUAACACUGAGCUAUUAAAUUCAAUUUCUAGAACUAAUUUUAGAAGCUAACACAUAUCUAAUUAUCUAUUUAGUUUGGUAAAUUCAGCGUAAUCAAAUGAGAAGUCGAAACAUAAAUUACUUCAGUCUAAGCUAGGAAAAUAAAUUGCACUGCUCAUGUUGGUUAUGGAAUGGGCCCUCGAUUAUGAAUUAAUUUCGGUUUUCCAUUCUGUGUUAGUGUGGGCGGUGCUUAACAGCUGGGUUGGGCUGCUGCAUUUGGGCCCAGGGUGCAGCUCUCACUUGUUUUGGGCUGGGUUUCACCGAAAGAUCAAAUGACUAUUUUGCCCCUUUAGUCCUAAUCCAACGGCCACCAUUUGGGGCGUUUGUGUUCUGCAAUUCGGUUGGGGGUGUUAGCUUGCUUUCGAUCUCGUCAAGGAGAUCGUGCAGAGAGGCAGAGGGUGUCAUCGAGUUUAGGGUUGAUGGGAAGGGUUGGGGGUGGACAGAGGGUUGAUGGGAAGGGUUGGGGGUGGAGAUAGAGGGUGGGUUCUGUCCGCUGACGUUGGUUGCAGAGAGAGAGAGAGAUGGGGAAAAGUAUGGGGGUGGGGUUGAGGGGAAGGGGUACAGAGAGAAAGAGUGAGGGAGUAAGGGACAUAGGAGCUAGAAAGGCGACUACAUGAUUCUCUUAAGGCUUUUCCUCAACUCGGUUCUCUGCUUUUCUCUUUCGUUUCAAGAUUUGGUUGAAAUUGAUAAAAAACAAUGCAUGCACUCAAGGAUUUGUUCGGAGUCUUUAUUGAGUUUCAGAACUUUCCUCUCUGGUUUUCUGAUUAUUUUCUCAAUUGGGAUUAUCUCUUACCAAUUUCCUUUGAGAAUUGUGCGUGUGGGUUUGUUAAUGCUCUGUUUCUUCGUUUUUACAGGAAAUGGAAUUGCUUUCUUCCUUUUCUUGGCAACCAUGUAUGCCCUCUCUCUCUCUCUCUCUCUCUCUCUCUCUCUCUCUUUCUCUCUUUUCUGUUGUGUAUUGCCUAAUUAGUUAUUUACAUUUGUUUAUUUAUCUAUGUAAAGCUUUCAUGCUCGGAUUUUAAAUGUAUGAUUCAAUUUGAAACCUUUAUAAUGUUGAUGUUAUAGAACAUUCAACAGAUUAGGUAGCUCUGGCAAAAUCAUAUGGACUAAGAUUUGGUAAUAUAUGGAGGUGAGAGUGAGUCUGCCUUGCUUGCCAUGAUAUAGGUUUGCAAUGAUGGCUUUCUCUCUGUAGUACUACAUUCUACUCUUACAUGUUAACGUCAGAAAGCAGACUAAGAUAGAUCCAAACCCAAUCUUAUUAAUUAAAGUUAACGGAAAGAAAAUGAUUUAUGCAUACCUUUGUUUAUUUGUCUCUUGAUUUUGGUUUAG